rnacentral:ncRNA from 2 species
UUUUAAAAGAAUUCCAAAGGUACCAUUUCGGUUUAAUAGGGAAUCCCGUGAAAAUCGGGAGCGGUCCCGCCGCUGUAAUCGGUAACGAAAUCUGCAAAAUGCCACUGCCUGGUUUUAGCCUAGUGGGAAGGUGCGGACAGUAGGAUGACCCGAGAGCCAGAAGACCUGCCUUGACAUAUUGCCAUUU